AAUGAACGCUGGCGGCGCGCCUAAUACAUGCAAGUCGAGCGAGAAGACGUAGCAAUACGUUUGUAAAGCGGCGAACGGGUGAGGAAUACAUGGGUAACCUACCCUCGAGUGGGGAAUAACUAGCCGAAAGGUUAGCUAAUACCGCGUACGCUUCUUGGACUUCGGUUCAGGGAGGAAAGCGAUACCGUGGGUAUCGCGCUCUUGGAUGGGCUCAUGUCCUAUCAGCUUGUUGGUGAGGUAACGGCUCACCAAGGCUUCGACGGGUAGCUGGUCUGAGAGGACGAUCAGCCACACUGGCACUGCGACACGGGCCAGACUCCUACGGGAGGCAGCAGUAAGGAAUAUUGCGCAAUGGGCGAAAGCCCUGACGCAGCGACGCCGCGUGGGGGA
rnacentral:rRNA from 1 species